rnacentral:rRNA from 1 species
AGGUGGUGCAUGGUUGUCGUCAGCUCGUGUCGUGAGAUGUUGGUUAAGUCCCGCAACGAGCGCAACCCUCGACCUUAGUUGCCAGCAUUCAGUUGGGCACUCUAAGGUGACUGCCGGCGUAAAAGUCGGAGGAAGGUGGGGAUGACGUCAAAUCAUCAUGCCCCUUAUGACCUGGGCUACACACGUGCUACAAUGGGCGGUACAAAGGGUCGCGAACCCGCGAGGGGGGAGCCAAUCCCAAAAAGCCGCUCUCAGUUCGGAUUGCAGGCUGCAACUCGCCUGCAUGAAGCCGGAAUCGCUAGUAAUCGCGGAUCAGCAUGCCGCGGUGAAUACGGUUCCCGGGCCUU